CCUACGUGCGGCAGCAGUGGGGAAUAUUGGACAAUGGGCGAAAGCCUGAUCCAGCCAUGCCGCGUGUGUGAAGAAGGCCUUCGGGUUGUAAAGCACUUUCAGUGGGGAAGAAAGCCUUGGGGCUAAUACCCUCGAGGAAGGACAUCACCCACAGAAGAAGCACCGGCUAACUCCGUGCCAGCAGCCGCGGUAAUACGGAGGGUGCGAGCGUUAAUCGGAAUUACUGGGCGUAAAGCGCGCGUAGGCGGUCUGAUAAGCCGGUUGUGAAAGCCCCGGGCUCAACCUGGGAACGGCAUCCGGAACUGUCAGGCUAGAGUGCAGGAGAGGAAGGUAGAAGUCCCGGUGUAGCGGUGAAAUGCGUAGAGAUCGGGAGGAAUACCAGUGGCGAAGGCGGCCUUCUGGACUGACACUGACGCUGAGGUGCGAAAGCGUGGGUAGCAAACAGGAUUAGAUACCCGUGUAGUC
rnacentral:rRNA from 1 species